rnacentral:rRNA from 1 species
GACGAACGCUGGCGGCGUGCUUAACACAUGCAAGUCGAACGGUGAAGCGCCUUCCUUUUUGGUGGGUGUGGAUGAGUGGCGAACGGGUGAGUAACACGUGAGUAACCUGCCCCCUUCUUCUGGAUAACCGCAUGAAAGUGUGGCUAAUACGGGAUAUUCUGGGUCUGUCGCAUGAUGGGUCUGGGAAAGAUAUUGUUUCGGUGGGGGAUGGGCUCGCGGCCUAUCAGCUUGUUGGUGGGGUGAUGGCCUACCAAGGCGGUGACGGGUAGCCGGCCUGAGAGGGUGGACGGUCACACUGGGACUGAGACACGGCCCAGACUCCUACGGGAGGCAGCAGUGGGGAAUAUUGCACAAUGGGCGAAAGCCUGAUGCAGCGACGCCGCGUGAGGGAUGGAGGCCUUCGGGUUGUGAACCUCUUUCGCCAGUGAAGCAGGCCUGCCUCGUUUGUGGGUGGGUUGACAGUAGCUGGAGAAGAAGCGCCGGCUAACUACGUG